CUACGGGCCGCUGCAGUGAGGAAUAUUGCACAAUGGGGGAAACCCUGAUGCAGCAACGCCGCGUGGAGGAUGACGCAUUUCGGUGUGUAAACUCCUUUUAUCAGAGAAGAAAAUGACGGUAUCUGAUGAAUAAGCUCCGGCUAACUCCGUGCCAGCAGCCGCGGUAAUACGGAGGGAGCAAGCGUUAUUCGGAAUCACUGGGCGUAAAGGACGCGUAGGCGGGUUUUUAAGUCAGGUGUGAAAUCCUAUGGCUCAACCAUAGAACUGCACUUGAAACUGGGGACCUAGAGUAUGGAAGGGGCAGGUGGAAUUAGUGGUGUAGGGGUAAAAUCCGUAGAUAUCACUAGGAAUACCGAAAGCGAAGGCGACCUGCUGGGACAUUACUGACGCUGAGGCGUGAAAGCGUGGGGAGCAAACAGGAUUAGAUACCCUCGUAGUC
rnacentral:rRNA from 1 species